rnacentral:rRNA from 1 species
GACGAACGCUGGCGGCGUGCUUAACACAUGCGAGUCGAACGGAAAGGCCCUGCUUUUGUGGGGUGCUCGAGUGGCGAACGGGUGAGUAACACGUGAGUAACCUGCCCUUGACUUUGGGAUAACUUCAGGAAACUGGGGCUAAUACCGGAUAGGAGCUCCUGCUGCAUGGUGGGGGUUGGAAAGUUUCGGCGGUUGGGGAUGGACUCGCGGCUUAUCAGCUUGUUGGUGGGGUAGUGGCUUACCAAGGCUUUGACGGGUAGCCGGCCUGAGAGGGUGACCGGCCACAUUGGGACUGAGAUACGGCCCAGACUCCUACGGGAGGCAGCAGUGGGGAAUAUUGCACAAUGGGCGGAAGCCUGAUGCAGCAACGCCGCGUGCGGGAGGACGGCCUUCGGGUUGUAAACCGCUUUCGCCUGUGACGAAGCGUGAGGGACGGUAAUGGGUAAAGAAGCACCGGCUAACUACGU